rnacentral:rRNA from 1 species
CGGACGGGUGAGUAACGCGUGAGAAUCUGCCUUUAGGUCCGGGACAACCACUGGAAACGGUGGCUAAUACCGGAUGUGCCGCAACGUGAAAGGGGAAACCCGCCUGAAGAUGAGCUCGCGUCUGAUUAGCUAGUUGGUGAGGUAAAGGCUCACCAAGGCGACGAUCAGUAGCUGGUCUGAGAGGAUGACCAGCCACACUGGGACUGAGACACGGCCCAGACUCCUACGGGAGGCAGCAGUGGGGAAUUUUCCGCAAUGGGCGAAAGCCUGACGGAGCCAGACCGCGUGGGGGAGGAAGGCUCUUGGGUUGUAAACCUCUUUUCUCAGGGAAGAAUGAUGACGGUACCUGAGGAAUAAGCAUCGGCUAACUCCGUGCCAGCAGCCGCGGUAAUACGGAGGAUGCAAGCGUUAUCCGGAAUAAUUGGGCGUAAAGCGUCCGUAGGUGGUUAUUCAAGUCUGCCGUUAAAGAGUGGGGCUUAACCCCACAAAGGCGGUGGAAACUGAAAGACUAGAGUGCAGUAGGGGUAGAGGGAAUUCCCGGUGUAGCGGUGAAAUGCGUAGAGAUCGGGAAGAACACCGGUGGCGAAAGCGCUCUGCUGGACUGCAACUGACACUGAGGGACGAAAGCUAGGGGAGCGAAUGGGAUUAGAUACCCCAGUAGUC